AUGCCUUAGUAACGGCGAGUGAGCGGCAAAGCUCAAUUUGAAAUCUGGUACCUUCGGUGCCCGAGUUGUAAUUUGGAGAGGGCAACUUUGGGGCCGUUCCUUGUCUAUGUUCCUUGGAACAGGACGUCAUAGAGGGUGAGAAUCCCGUGUGGCGAGGAGUGCGGUUCUUUGUAAAGUGCCUUCGAAGAGUCGAGUUGUUUGGGAAUGCAGCUCUAAGUGGGUGGUAAAUUCCAUCUAAAGCUAAAUAUUGGCGAGAGACCGAUAGCGAACAAGUACAGUGAUGGAAAGAUGAAAAGAACUUUGAAAAGAGAGUGAAAAAGUACGUGAAAUUGUUGAAAGGGAAGGGCAUUUGAUCAGACAUGGUGUUUUGUGCCCUCUGCUCCUUGUGGGUAGGGGAAUCUCGCAUUUCACUGGGCCAGCAUCAGUUUUGGUGGCAGGAUAAAUGCAUAGGAAUGUAGCUUGCCUCGGUAAGUAUUAUAGCCUGUGGGAAU
rnacentral:rRNA from 1 species